AGUUAAAGCCCAUACUGUGGUUGCUGGGUGUGGGAGUAGUUGGGAGUACAGAGUAAGGAUUAAAUACACAGGAUCGGCAUUUAAAAACAAAACUGCAGAUUUUGGUAAGGUGGCAGUUAUGGUAUAGGUUUUGGAUCUCCCCACAUCACCCCAUAAAAACAGAAUUUGGCUGGGAUAGCAAAACUAAAACUCCUGGAUGAGAUCCAUGCCAGAUCUAGGUGACAAGCCCCACAAACCCUGAGUACGAGCAGGUCGUCUGGUAGACCCAAGAACCCCCAAAUGAUGAUCAGGAAGUUGAAAUCGCAGUGAGCCAAUUCGGGAGCGGCCGCUGGAACUGGGGGUGGUUUGCACACCCCAGUGGGUGAGUGGGAGGGAUUUGUGGUGAGGCCUGCAGGGGCUGGAGCAGUCAAUGUCCCAGGAACUUCUAGGACAAAGUCCCUCGCUGAGGAGAAACUGCUGGGGACAGGAUCCCAAAGGAAGCGGUGCAGGUGCAGGAGACACAAAGGAAAGCAAAGGUCCAGUCAGAGGGAACAGAGCCAGGACUUUGAAGGAAGUGACUGACAGAUGCAGGCACGACUCUGUCCCUGCUGUUGGCAAACUCAAAAUAGAGCUGGGAGAGCAGAGAAUCUUCUGAGAGGGUCUGGCUUGAAUGGAGAGCACAUGGAAAGCACACGGUUUGGUCUGUGCCAGCGAUGCAGGGAAAAUGCCACAUC